rnacentral:rRNA from 1 species
AUUGAACGCUGGCGGAAUGCUUUACACAUUCAAGUCGAACGGCAGCACGGACUUCGGUCUGGUGGCGAGUGGCGAACGGGUGAGUAAUGUAUCGGAACGUGCCCAGUCGUGGGGGAUAACGUAGUGAAAAUUACGCUAAUACCGCAUACGAUCUAUGGAUGAAAGCGGGGGAUCGCAAGACCUCGCGCGAUUGGAGCGGCCGAUAUCAGGUUAGGUAGUUGGUGGGGUAAAGGCCCACUAAGCCAACGAUCUGUAGCUGGUCGGAGAGGACGACCAGCAACACUGGAACUGAGACACGGUCCAGACUCCUACGGGAGGCAGCAGUGGGGAAUUUUGGACAAUGGGCGAAAGCCUGAUCCAGCCAUUCCGCGUGCAGGAUGAAGGCCCUCGGGUUGUAAACUGCUUCUGUACAGAACGAAAAGGUUUCUACUAAUACUAGGAGCUCAUGACGGUACUGUAAGAAUAAGCACCGGCUAACUACGUGCCAGCCGCCGCAGUAA